rnacentral:rRNA from 1 species
CAGGCUACACAUGCAAGUCGAGGGGUACAUAGGAAAGCUUGCUUUUCUGAUGACGACCGGCGCACGGGUGCGUAACGCGUAUACAACCUACCUUUUAGCGGGGAAUAGCCCAGGGAAACUUGGAUUAAUGCCCCAUAGUAUAUGAACUUCUCCUGAAGUUCAUAUUAAACAUUUAUGGCUAUUAGAUGGGUAUGCGUCCUAUUAGUUAGUUGGUAAGGUAACGGCUUACCAAGGCAGCGAUAGGUAGGGGUCCUGAGAGGGAGAUCCCCCACACUGGUACUGAGACACGGACCAGACUCCUACGGGAGGCAGCAGUGAGGAAUAUUGGACAAUGGGCGAGAGCCUGAUCCAGCCAUGCCGCGUGCAGGAAGACUGCCCUAUGGGUUGUAAACUGCUUUUACAGAGGAAGAAUCGCCACUACGUGUAGUGGUUUGACGGUACUCUGCGAAUAAGGAUCGGCUAACUCCGUGCCAGCAGCCGCGGUAAUACGGAGGAUCCAAGCGUUAUCCGGAAUCAUUGGGUUUAAAGGGUCCGUAGGCGGGCAGUUAAGUCAGUGGUGAAAGUCUUCCGCUCAACGGGAGAACUGCCAUUGAUACUGAUUGUCUUGAGUUAUUAUGAAGUGGUUAGAAUGAGUAGUGUAGCGGUGAAAUGCAUAGAUAUUACUCAGAAUACCGAUUGCGAAGGCAGAUCACUAAUAAUAUACUGACGCUGAUGGACGAAAGCGUAGGUAGCGAACAGGAUUAGAUACCCUGGUAGUCUACGCCGUAAACGAUGGUUACUAGCUGUUCGGAUCGAUUGAGAUCUGAGUGGUUAAGCGAAAGUGAUAAGUAACCCACCUGGGGAGUACGUUCGCAAGAAUGAAACUCAAAGGAAUUGACGGGGGCCCGCACAAGCGGUGGAGCAUGUGGUUUAAUUCGAUGAUACGCGAGGAACCUUACCAGGGCUUAAUGUAGUCUGACAGGGGUGGAAACACCUUUUCUUCGG